rnacentral:rRNA from 1 species
GACGAACGCUGGCGGCGUGCUUAACACAUGCAAGUCGAACGGAAAGGCCCUGCUUUUGUGGGGUGCUCGAGUGGCGAACGGGUGAGUAACACGUGAGUAACCUGCCCUUGACUUUGGGAUAACUUCAGGAAACUGGGGCUAAUACCGGAUAGGAGCUCCUGCUGCAUGGUGGGGGUUGGAAAGUUUCGGCGGUUGGGGAUGGACUCGCGGCUUAUCAGCUUGUUGGGGGGGUAGUGGCUUACCAAGGCUUUGACGGGUAGCCCGCCUGGGAGGGUGGCCGGCCACAUUGGGCCUGAGAUACGGCGCAGACUAGUACGGGAGGCAGUAGUGGGGAAUAUUGCACAAUGAGCGGGAGCCUGAUGCAGCAACGCCCCGUGCGGGAUGACGGCCUUCGGGUGGUAAACCGCUUUCGCCUGUGACCAAGCGUGAGUGACGGUAAUGGGUAAAGAAGCACCGGCUAACUACGUG